AUACGGAGGGUGCAAGCGUUAAUCGGAAUUACUGGGCGUAAAGCGCGCGUAGGCGGUUUAGUAAGUCGGAUGUGAAAGCCCUGGGCUCAACCUGGGAAUUGCAUUCGAUACUGCUUGACUAGAGUAUGGUAGAGGGAAGUGGAAUUUCCGGUGUAGCGGUGAAAUGCGUAGAUAUCGGAAGGAACACCAGUGGCGAAGGCGACUUCCUGGGCCAAUGCUGACGCUGAGGUGCGAAAGCGUGGGGAGCAAACAGGAUUAGAAACCCCAGUAGUCC
rnacentral:rRNA from 1 species